rnacentral:tRNA from 1 species
GCCCAGAUGGCGGAACUGGUAUACGCGCAUGCCUUAGGAGCAUGUGCCGCAAGGCGUGCAGGUUCGACCCCUGUUCUGGGCACCA